UACGUAGGGCGCAAGCGUUGUCCGGAAUUAUUGGGCGUAAAGAGCUCGUAGGCGGUUUGUCACGUCGGAUGUGAAAGCCCGGGGCUUAACCCCGGGUCUGCAUUCGAUACGGGCAGACUGGAGUGUGGUAGGGGAGAUCGGAAUUCCUGGUGUAGCGGUGAAAUGCGCAGAUAUCAGGAGGAACACCGGUGGCGAAGGCGGAUCUCUGGGCCUUACCUGACGCUGAGGCGCGAAAGCUAGGGGAGCGAACAGG
rnacentral:rRNA from 1 species